rnacentral:rRNA from 1 species
CCUACGGGUGGCAGCAGUGGGGAAUAUUGGACAAUGGGGGCAACCCUGAUCCAGCCAUGCCGCGUGUGUGAAGAAGGCCCUCGGGUUGUAAAGCACUUUCAGUGAGGAAGAACGCCUGGUGGUGAAUACCCAUCAGGAAAGACAUCACUCACAGAAGAAGCACCGGCUAACUCCGUGCCAGCAGCCGCGGUAAUACGGAGGGUGCGAGCGUUAAUCGGAAUUACUGGGCGUAAAGCGCGCGUAGGUGGCUUGAGUAAGCCGGUUGUGAAAGCCCCGGGCUCAACCUGGGAACGGCAUCCGGAACUGUCAAGCUAGAGUGCAGGAGAGGAAGGUAGAAUUCCCGGUGUAGCGGUGAAAUGCGUAGAGAUCGGGAGGAAUACCAGUGGCGAAGGCGGCCUUCUGGACUGACACUGACACUGAGGUGCGAAAGCGUGGGUAGCGAACAGGAUUAGAUACCCGAGUAGUC